UGGGGAAUUUUGCGCAAUGGGCGAAAGCCUGACGCAGCAACGCCGCGUGGAGGAUGAAGAUAUUCGUAUCGUAAACUCCUGUCGUGGGGGACGAAGGAAGUGACUGUACCCUGUGAGGAAGCCACGGCUAACUCCGUGCCAGCAGCCGCGGUAAUACGGGGGUGGCAAGCGUUGUUCGGAAUUAUUGGGCGUAAAGGGCGCGUAGGCGGCGUUACAAGUUGGAUGUGAAAGCCCCGGGCUUAACCUGGGAACUGCAUCCAAUACUGUAAUGCUUGAGUUUUGGAGGGGGCAGUGGAAUUCCCAGUGUAGCGGUGAAAUGCGUAGAUAUUGGGAGGAACACCAGCGGCGAAGGCGGCUGCCUGGACAGGAACUGACGCUGAGGCGCGAAGGCCAGGGGAGCGAACGGGAUUAGAUACCCCGGUAGUCCUGGCGGUAAACGAUGGGUACUUGGUGUUGGGGG
rnacentral:rRNA from 1 species